GGAUGAACGCUAGCUACAGGCUUAACACAUGCAAGUCGAGGGGCAUCAGGAAGAAAGCUUGCUUUCUUUGCUGGCGACCGGCGCACGGGUGAGUAACACGUAUCCAACCUGCCCUUUACUCGGGGAUAGCCUUUCGAAAGAAAGAUUAAUACCCGAUGGCAUAAUGAUUCCGCAUGGUUUCAUUAUUAAAGGAUUCCGGUAAAGGAUGGGGAUGCGUUCCAUUAGGUUGUUGGUGAGGUAACGGCUCACCAAGCCUUCGAUGGAUAGGGGUUCUGAGAGGAAGGUCCCCCACAUUGGAACUGAGACACGGUCCAAACUCCUACGGGAGGCAGCAGUGAGGAAUAUUGGUCAAUGGGCGCUAGCCUGAACCAGCCAAGUAGCGUGAAGGAUGAAGGCUCUAUGGGUCGUAAACUUCUUUUAUAUAAGAAUAAAGUGCAGUAUGUAUACUGUUUUGUAUGUAUUAUAUGAAUAAGGAUCGGCUAACUCCGUGCCAGCAGCCGCGGUAAUACGGAGGAUCCGAGCGUUAUCCGGAUUUAUUGGGUUUAAAGGGAGCGUAGGUGGACUGGUAAGUCAGUUGUGAAAGUUUGCGGCUCAACCGUAAAAUUGCAGUUGAUACUGUCAGUCUUGAGUACAGUAGAGGUGGGCGGAAUUCGUGGUGUAGCGGUGAAAUGCUUAGAUAUCACGAAGAACUCCGAUUGCGAAGGCAGCUCACUGGACUGCAACUGACACUGAUGCUCGAAAGUGUGGGUAUCAAACAGGAUUAGAUACCCUGGUAGUCCACACAGUAAACGAUGAAUACUCGCUGUUUGCGAUAUACAGUAAGCGGCCAAGCGAAAGCAUUAAGUAUUCCACCUGGGGAGUACGCCGGCAACGGUGAAACUCAAAGGAAUUGACGGGGGCCCGCACAAGCGGAGGAACAUGUGGUUUAAUUCGAUGAUACGCGAGGAACCUUACCCGGGCUUAAAUUGCAGUGGAAUGAUGUGGAAACAUGUCAGUGAGCAAUCACCGCUGUGAAGGUGCUGCAUGGUUGUCGUCAGCUCGUGCCGUGAGGUGUCGGCUUAAGUGCCAUAACGAGCGCAACCCUUAUCUUUAGUUACUAACAGGUCAUGCUGAGGACUCUAGAGAGACUGCCGUCGUAAGAUGUGAGGAAGGUGGGGAUGACGUCAAAUCAGCACGGCCCUUACGUCCGGGGCUACACACGUGUUACAAUGGGGGGUACAGAAGGCAGCUAGCGGGUGACCGUAUGCUAAUCCCAAAAGCCUCUCUCAGUUCGGAUCGAAGUCUGCAACCCGACUUCGUGAAGCUGGAUUCGCUAGUAAUCGCGCAUCAGCCACGGCGCGGUGAAUACGUUCCCGGGCCUUGUACACACCGCCCGUCAAGCCAUGGGAGCCGGGGGUACCUGAAGUACGUAACCGCAAGGAUCGUCCUAGGGUAAAACUGGUG
rnacentral:rRNA from 1 species